rnacentral:rRNA from 1 species
AGUGAACGCUGGCGGUAGGCCUAACACAUGCAAGUCGAGCGGCAGCACAGUAAGAGCUUGCUCUUACGGGUGGCGAGUGGCGGACGGGUGAGGAAUACAUCGGAAUCUACUUUUUCGUGGGGGAUAACGUAGGGAAACUUACGCUCAUACCGCAUACGACCUAAGGGUGAAAGCAGGGGAUCUUCGUACCUUGCGCGCUUCAAUGAGCCGAUGUCGGAUUAGCUAGUUGGCGGGGUAAAGGCCCACCAAGGCGACGAUCCGUAGCUGGUCUGAGAGGAUGAUCAGCCACACUGGAACUGAGACACGGUCCAGACUCCUACAGGAGGCAGCAGUGGGGAAUAUUGGACAAUGGGCGCAAGCCGGAUCCAGCCAUACCGCGUGGGUGAAGAAGGCCUUCGGGUUGUAGAGCCCUUUUGUAGGGAAAGAAAAGCAGCAGGUUAAGACCCCGCUGUUCUGACGGUACCCAAAGAAUAAGCACCGGCUAACUUCGUG